UGGACUGAUACUCAACCACUGAGCCACACCAGCCAGGCAGCCUGGGGAAUUCUUAAAGCUGAAAACAACUGGGUCCUUGAAGUUCAUGAUCUGUGCUUGUCAGGUAACCCUUCUUCCAACAGUGCACUUGGUGGUCCCACUGGAUUUUAGGUAAACGUUCUGUUCUCCCUAAUUUCACUCCUUUAUUCUCACAUGCAUCUUUGAGACAGAAGAACAUUUCAACGACUAUUGCUAAAAUUGCUGUUUCUCAUUUAUCUUUUUAGGUUCUUCAAGAAACUCAUUAAUACUGAAACUCAACUGGGUACCUCCUUCGCCAUUUAUUGCUUGGGGAUUUUAAAAGCUUUAUGUAUCUAUCUCUUGAUUUGAGAUCCACUGACAAUUAGAACACACCUUUUUACUAUUUGAGGGAGCCCUGAUUUAAAUAUUGCUAUAUGGAGAUUUGCCAAAAAACAAAGAAAAUAUAAUAUAUUUAGCAAAUCAUCAAUGCACAGUGGACUGGAUCGUGGCGGA